rnacentral:pre_miRNA from 1 species
CUCGUACUCCCUCCGUCCGGAAAAGCUUGUCCCUCAAAUGAAUGUAUCUAGCACCAAGUUAGUGCUAGAUACAUCCAUUUGAGGAACAAGCUUGGGACAAGCUUUUUCAGACGGAGGGAGUAUAAC